rnacentral:rRNA from 1 species
UACGUAGGGGGCAAGCGUUAUCCGGAUUUACUGGGUGUAAAGGGUACGUAGGCGGUUCACUAAGUCAGAUGUGAAAGCCCGAGGCUCAACCUCGGGAUUGCAUUUGAAACUGGUGAACUAGAGUACAGGAGAGGAAAGUGGAAUUCCUAGUGUAGCGGUGAAAUGCGUAGAUAUUAGGAAGAACACCAGUGGCGAAGGCGGCUUUCUGGACUGUAACUGACGCUGAGGUACGAAAGCGUGGGGAGCGAACAGG